rnacentral:rRNA from 1 species
GAUGAACGCUGGCGGCGUGCCUAAUACAUGCAAGUCGAGCGAACGGACGAGAAGCUUGCUUCUCUGAUGUUAGCGGCGGACGGGUGAGUAACACGUGGAUAACCUACCUAUAAGACUGGGAUAACUUCGGGAAACCGUAGCUAAUACCGGAUAAUAUUUUGAACUGCAUGGUUCAAAAGUGAAAGACGGUCUUGCUGUCACUUAUAGAUGGAUCCGCGCUGCAUUAGCUAGUUGGUAAGGUAACGGCUUACCAAGGCAACGAUGCAUAGCCGACCUGAGAGGGUGAUCGGCCACACUGGAACUGAGACACGGUCCAGACUCCUACGGGAGGCAGCAGUAGGGAAUCUUCCGCAAUGGGCGAAAGCCUGACGGAGCAACGCCGCGUGAGUGAUGAAGGUCUUCGGAUCGUAAAACUCUGUUAUUAGGGAAGAACAUAUGUGUAAGUAACUGUGCACAUCUUGACGGUACCUAAUCAGAAAGCCACGGCUAACUACGUGCCAGCAGCCGCGGUAAUACGUAGGUGGCAAGCGUUAUCCGGAAUUAUUGGGCGUAAAGCGCGCGUAGGCGGUUUUUUAGUCUGAUGUGAAAGCCCACGGCUCAACCGUGGAGGGUCAUUGGAAACUGGAAAACUUGAGUGCAGAAGAGGAAAGUGGAAUUCCAUGUGUAGCGGUGAAAUGCGCAGAGAUAUGGAGGAACACCAGUGGCGAAGGCGACUUUCUGGUCUGUAACUGACGCUGAUGUGCGAAAGCGUGGGGAUCAAACAGGAUUAGAUACCCUGGUAGUCCACGCCGUAAACGAUGAGUGCUAAGUGUUAGGGGGUUUCCGCCCCUUAGUGCUGCAGCUAACGCAUUAAGCACUCCGCCUGGGGAGUACGACCGCAAGGUUGAAACUCAAAGGAAUUGACGGGGACCCGCACAAGCGGUGGAGCAUGUGGUUUAAUUCGAAGCAACGCGAAGAACCUUACCAAAUCUUGACAUCCUUUGACAACUCUAGAGAUAGAGCCUUCCCCUUCGGGGGACAAAGUGACAGGUGGUGCAUGGUUGUCGUCAGCUCGUGUCGUGAGAUGUUGGGUUAAGUCCCGCAACGAGCGCAACCCUUAAGCUUAGUUGCCAUCAUUAAGUUGGGCACUCUAAGUUGACUGCCGGUGACAAACCGGAGGAAGGUGGGGAUGACGUCAAAUCAUCAUGCCCCUUAUGAUUUGGGCUACACACGUGCUACAAUGGACAAUACAAAGGGCAGCGAAACCGCGAGGUCAAGCAAAUCCCAUAAAGUUGUUCUCAGUUCGGAUUGUAGUCUGCAACUCGACUACACGAAGCUGGAAUCGCUAGUAAUCGUAGAUCAGCAUGCUACGGUGAAUACGUUCCCGGGUCU